AUUGAACGCUGGCGGCGUGCCUUACACAUGCAAGUCGAACGGUAACAGGUCUACGGAUGCUGACGAGUGGCGAACGGGUGAGUAAGACAUCGGAACGCGCCCAGACGUGGGGGAUAACGAGGCGAAAGCUUUGCUAAUACAGCAUACGAUCUAAGGAUGAAAGCAGGGGACCGCAAGGCCUUGUGCGAUUGGAGCGGCCGAUGGCAGAUUAGGUAGUUGGUGGGAUAAAAGCUUACCAAGCCGACGAUCUGUAGCUGGUCUGAGAGGACGACCAGCCACACUGGAACUGAGACACGGCCCAGACUCCUACGGGAGGCAGCAGUGGGGAAUUUUGGACAAUGGGCGCAAGCCUGAUCCAGCAAUGCCGCGUGCAGGAUGAAGGCCUUCGGGUUGUAAGCUGCUUUUGUACGGAACGAAAAGGAUCUGGCUAAUACCUGGGGCACAUGACGGUACCGUAAGAAUAAGCACCGGCUAACUACGUG
rnacentral:rRNA from 1 species